CCCGGGCACGCGGCUCCGUUAGGAUCCCGGGGACCCGCAGCGCGGCGGGAAGGGCGCGCGGGCUCCCGGCUGCCCUCCCGCGCCCACGCGGCGAUCGCCGCCCCCGAGCGGGGACCCGCGCUCCCCAGGGCGGGGGGCGUGGCGAGCCGGCCUGCCGAGCCCCGCGGGGCUCCCUCCGCUGAGCUUCCAGUCGGGCUUCUUUGCUGGCUUGAAGAGCGCUGCCAGGCGCCCCCAGAUUUUGCUCGGGGUCGCUUUUGCCUUCCCCUAAACCAGCCUUCCUCCGCCAGAAGAUGCCGGGCGGGAAAAGAAGCGAUGGGGGAGUGGAAAGGAUUAACUGUUCUAGGCGGAGGGCUUGGCGUGGGAAGAGUACAGCCUGGAUUCUUUCCGAUUUGCUUGUGACCUUGGGCACGUUAUCUGUUUUCUUAGACAAUUCAUCCUUUUUUUCAAAAAACACUGUGGAGCCUUCGGGACAAGGGAAUGCAAAGAGGAAGAGCCAAGUGGAGUGCGGGCGCACGCGUACCACCCCCGAGUAAAAUUUCCAUUUUUUACACGACCUUUGCACAUGCUGGAAUGCCUGGAAUGAUCUUCCCCACCUCUACUCUCCUGAUCCACUCCUGCCCUGCCUUCAGAUCUCCCUAUUACCCCAGCUUUUUCAGAUGGUCAACCUUCCACAACUUAGAACCUGGAGAGUGCUUCUUCUGGAAACGACCCCUGAGAAAGACUUCUUUGCACUUUGUUGGAAGGGACCGUACCACGUUCUCCUCGCUACCCAGAUGGCAGCCAGACUUCAGGGACUUGAACCUUGGGGUCCAUGUCUCCCAGCGGAAAAGCGCUCCUCCAGACUCCUGGAACUACGUAGCAGCCGGAGAUCUAAAGUCAAAGUUGACCCAGGAGAUUCCUCCCCAGAAGCAGACGACGUCUUGAGGUGGACAGCUCUCCCAGGAUCACGGGUCAAGAUCUCCGUCUCCAAUAUGAAACCUUUAUCCCUUUUGCCUAUUUGCUUUUUGCUUUUGCUCCCCAUUAAUGCCUGGGGAGAUAACACUAUAAUUAGGAUUUCACAGUCAAUAGCUACUGCAGAAAACGUAACCAACUGCUGCAUUUGUCACACUAAACCAAAAUCAGUAAAUGAAGAGAGAGACCCCUUAGUUCACCCUAUAAGUAAUUUCACUGGAGUCCCAAAUGCCACGGGAGGCUGAAACUGUUCUGCAGGUCCCUUUUUAUAAAGUUAAAAUACUAAGUCCACAUACCCCCAUUUCUUGCCUCAAUUUAACCUAACCCUGGGAUAGGAAAAUGAGAUACAUUAAAUAUAUAUAAAAAGACACUGCAGGGGCCAGCCCUGUGGCCGAAUGGUUAAGUUUGCCUACUCUGCUUUGGUGGCCCGGGGUUCACUGGUUCAGAUCCUAG